rnacentral:rRNA from 1 species
GCGGACAGAAGGGAGCUUGCUCCCGGAUGUUAGCGGCGGACGGGUGAGUAACACGUGGGUAACCUGCCUGUAAGACUGGGAUAACUCCGGGAAACCGGAGCUAAUACCGGAUAGUUCCUUGAACCGCAUGGUUCAAGGAUGAAAGACGGUUUCGGCUGUCACUUACAAUUGGACCCACGGCGCAUUCUUAGUUGGUGAGGCCCUUUGCUCUGUGGAUUACA